UAUAUCAGCCGCUCUCUCCGCCAAUCCCGCCUCUUUGCCUUAUCUCGGCUCGUAAAUGAUCUGCAUCGAGAUGCAGUCUCUUGAGGGUCACCGCGGGACCAAGUUUCGCCGAGGAAAAGAAGGGGGGGGUGCUCUAGCCCUCGAAGGGAUCUCCCCGGCUGCGCGCUGCAGGUGGAAAGCUGCGCACUGAGCAGCUCCGAGGACCGCUCAGCACCCCCAGGGAAUAAAUAAGUGGGGGGAACAGACUGCGCACAGGCUGAGAGAAUCUCAUUCUCCAGGUUCCAACUGCAGAGUGCUUUCCAGAGGAUCGGGAGAAAGUCCCUUGGGAACAAAGACGGGGUCCCCGUGGGGUGCGCUGUCACCGAAACCGGCGGAGCCGCUUUCUCAAGUUUGUGGCUGCUCGGUUGCCGGGCGGGCGAAGGAGGGGUGCUCGCGCUCGCCCCUCGCUGAGCAACCUGAGCGCCCCGGCGGGAGCCGCUCCAACGCCGCCGCCCUGCCCUGGCCCCCUCCCGGCCGCGGUCCCCUCUGUGCGCUCACGGACUCGACCCCUGCCACUGCCGGAAAAGGAAGAGUGAAGUCAAAGGAAUUUACACUUCCAAAGAAUUUUUUAGGAACUUUGGAUGCAAAGAAAAAGAGCAGCUUCAUAUGGUACAAUCUCCCACCAUGCUUGGGAUGAGAAGGGAUGUCAAAACCCUGCAAUAGAACACAGCUACUCCAGAAAGCAAGGGAUCAUUGACUACUCAUUGAAGCUACAUGUCAACAAGUGAUGAUUGCAUUUGUUUCAAGAAGAUUACUGGAAUUUUGUCCAGAAUGGUUUCAGUGCCAGUCCAACACAAUGGAAAGGUAAGUUUGGGACUAUGGCAACCCACAAUAAUUAUAGAGACUCAUUUGGGGCAGUUCCGUUUAUAGGAAGACAGAUUGAAGUCUCAAACUACUAAAUUCAAACAAAUGAAAAUAUGCUC